rnacentral:rRNA from 1 species
GACGAACGCUGGCGGCGUGCUUAACACAUGCAAGUCGAACGGAAAGGCCUGCUUUCCCUUGUGGUUUGCGGGUACUCGAGUGGCGAACGGGUGAGUAACACGUGUGUGAUCUGCCCCCAACUUGGGUAUAAGCCUGGGAAACUGGGUCUAAUUCUCGAUAGGACUGCAGGGUGGUGCAGGUGGUGGCAGACGUUCUUCUAGUGGUUGGGGGUGAGCUCGAGGCCUAUCAGCUUGUUGGUGGGGUAAUGGCCUACCACGGCGGCGACGCGUAGUCGGCCUGAGAGGGUCGACGGCCACAUUGGGACUGGGACACGGCCCAUACUGCUACGGGAGGCAGCAGUGGGGAAUAUAGGAGCGUGAGCGGAAGCCUGAUGCAGCGACGCAGCGUGGGGGAUGACGGCCUUGGGGUUGUAAGCUCCUAGCGACCGCGAGAUAGCCACCUGGUUGGGAGGGUGGUGACGGUAGUGGUAGAAGAAGCACCGGCUAACUACGUG